rnacentral:pre_miRNA from 7 species
AGGAAGAGGUCUGAAUGCCAGAUAUCUGUGCACCUUCCCUGUGAAAGACCCCCGAAGGGAGACCCUCACUCAGGCCUCGGGACAGCCGCGUACCCAAGAAGACACUGAGACCA